GAUGAACGCUGGCGGCGUGCUUAACACAUGCAAGUCGAACGGAAAGGCCCAAGCUUGCUUGGGUACUCGAGUGGCGAACGGGUGAGUAACACGUGGGUGAUCUGCCCUGCACUUCGGGAUAAGCCUGGGAAACUGGGUCUAAUACCGGAUAGGACCACCUUUUGGAUGGUGUGGUGGAAAGUUUUUCGGUGUGGGAUGAGCUCGCGGCCUAUCAGCUUGUUGGUGGGGUAAUGGCCUACCAAGGCGUCGACGGGUAGCCGGCGUGCGAGGGUGUACGGCCACAUUGGGGCUGAGAUACGGCCCAGACUCCUACGGGGGGCAGCAGUGGGGAAUAUUGCACAAUGGGGGCAAGCCUGAUGCAGCGACGCCGCGUGGGGGAUGACGGCGUUCGGGUUGUAAACUCCUUUCGCUAGGGACGAAGCGUGUUUGUGACGGUACCUGGAGAAGAAGCACCGGCUAACUACGUG
rnacentral:rRNA from 1 species